rnacentral:rRNA from 1 species
CAGGAGGGACCACCCUCCAAGGCUAAAUACUACCUAGUGACCGAUAGCGUAUAGUACCGUGAGGGAAAGGUGAAAAGAACCCCGGGAGGGGAGUGAAAUAGAACCUGAAACCCUGCACUUACAAGCUGUGGAAGCACAUUUCUUGUGUGACCGCGUACUUUUUGUAGAACGGGCCAACGAGUUACGUUAAGUAGCAAGGUUAAGCACUUAAGGUGUGGAGCCGUAGCGAAAGCGAGUUUUAACUGAGCGUUCAGUUACUUGACGUAGACCCGAAACCGGGCGACCUACCCAUGAGCAGGAUGAAGCGAAAGUAAAAUUUCGUGGAGGUCCGAACCCACGAGCGUUGAAAAGCUCGGGGAUGACUUGUGGGUAGCGGUGAAAUUCCAAUCGAGCCCGGAGAUAGCUGGUUCUCCCCGAAAUAGCUUUAGGGCUAGCCUCAAGGUGAGAGAUACGGAGGUAGAGCACUGAAUGUCCUAGGGGGUAUUGCACCUACCGAAGACUAUCAAACUCCGAAUGCCGUCAUCUUAUACUUGGGAGUCAGACUGUGGGUGAUAAGAUUCAUAGUCGAAAGGGCAACAGCCCAGAUCGUCAGCUAAGGUCCCUAAAUGUAAGUUAAGUGGUAAAGGAUGUGGGAUUGCACAGACAACCAGGAUGUUGGCUUAGAAGCAGCCACUCAUUCAAAGAGUGCGUAAUAGCUCACUGGUCGAGUGAUCCUGCGCCGAAGAUUUCCGGGGCUAAAACUUACUACCGAAGCUACGGCAUCAUUAUGAUGGGUAGGGGAGCUUCCCAUACGGGUUGAAGCAUGACCGUAAGGACAUGUGGACAGUAUGGGAGUGAGAAUGUUGGCAUGAGUAGCGAGAUGUGGGUGAGAAUCCCACAGGCCGUAAACCCAAGGUUUCCAGGGGAAGGUUCGUCCGCCCUGGGUUAGUCGGGACCUAAGCUGAGGCCGAAAGGCGUAGGUGAUGGACAACAGGUUGAUAUUCCUGUACUACCGAUAACCGUUUGAGAGAUGGGAUGACACAGUAGGAUAAGCUAAGCACACUGUUGGUUAUGUGUGCCCAAGCAUUGAGGCAGUCAGAGUAGGUAAAUCCGCUUUGAUAAUGCUGGGAUGUGAUGGGGAGCGAAAUUUAGUAGCGAAGUAGCUGAUUUCACACUGUCAAGAAAAGUCUCUAUCGAGGUUAAAGGUACCCGUACCGCAAACCGACACAGGUGGGUGAGGAGAGUAUCCUAAGGCCAGCGAGAGAACUGUUGUUAAGGAACUCGGCAAAAUGACCCCGUAACUUAGGGAUAAGGGGUGCCACCAUCCGGUGGCCGCAGAGAAUAGGCCCAAGCGACUGUUUACCAAAAACAUAGGUUUCUGCUAAGUCGCAAGACGAUGUAUAGGAGCUGACGCCUGCCCGGUGCUGGAAGGUUAAGGGGAUCUGUUAGAGCAAUCGAAGCAGUGAACUUAAGCCCCAGUAAACGGCGGCCGUAACUAUAACGGUCCUAAGGUAGCGAAAUUCCUUGUCGGGUAAGUUCCGACCCGCACGAAAGGCGUAACGAUUUGGGCACUGUCUCAACAACAGACUCGGUGAAAUUGUAAUUCCGGUGAAGAUGCCGGAUACCUGCGACAGGACGGAAAGACCCCAUGGAGCUUUACUGUAGCUUGACAUUGGGUCUUGGUACUACAUGUACAGGAUAGGUGGGAGGCUUUGAAACCAGGACGCCAGUUUUGGCGGAGCCAUCCUUGGGAUACCACCCUUGUAGUACUGGGACUCUAACCAUAGGCCAUGAAUCUGGUCUUGGGACACUGUCAGGUGGGCAGUUUGACUGGGGCGGUCGCCUCCCAAAAGGUAACGGAGGCGCUCAAAGGUUCUCUCAGUACGGUCGGAAAUCGUACGUAGAGUGUAAAGGCAAAAGAGAGCUUGAUUGCAAGACAUACAGGUCGAGCAAGGAUGAAAAUCGGACUUAGUGAUCCGGUGGUUCUGCGUGGAAGGGCCAUCGCUCAACGGAUAAAAGCUACCCUGGGGAUAACAGGCUUAUCUCCCCCAAGAGUCCACAUCGACGGGGAGGUUUGGCACCUCGAUGUCGGCUCAUCACAUCCUGGGGCUGUAGUAGGUCCCAAGGGUUGGGCUGUUCGCCCAUUAAAGUGGUACGCGAGCUGGGUUCAGAACGUCGUGAGACAGUUCGGUCCCUAUCCGUCGCAGGCGUAGGAAAUUUGAGAAGACCUGUCCUUAGUACGAGAGGACCGGGAUGGACGUACCUCUGGUGUACCAGUUGUCCUGCCAAGGGCAUGGCUGGGUAGCUAUGUACGGAAUGGAUAAGCGCUGAAAGCAUCUAAGCGCGAAGCCAACUUCAAGAUAAGAUUUCCCACC